CACUAUUUCUCCCUUCCUCUCUCUAUAAUUUUCCGGCAAUCGUACAUCUCUCUCUCUCUAGAUUUUUGCUCAAUCUCGGCCGUGAACAUGUACUUCUUUCAUAGAAGUAUAGCGAUCUGUGUCUAAAUACUUGGUUUCGUCCAGAAUUACGUUGAUCUUAACUGAGAUUGGUAUAUAUUUGAGGAAGGGCGUGUGAUACCAAGAUUUGGAGUACACUGUGGCUUCCUCGUUCUUCCUAUGGCUGAAGUUGUCAGUUUCUUCAUUCUGUAAUAUAAGUAUGAGACUUAUAUAUAUGGAAAUAGUAUGAAAUGGUUUUAGGUACUUUUAUAUAUAAGAUCUAUUUUGUCAUUAUUUGCCAAAUACUUUUACCAACAAUGUUUUUCCCAUGCAGUGAUUAAGGUUUAUGUAAACACUUCA